GCUUAGAUAGCUUAAAUUUAAAGCUUAACUUUGAAGUAGUUAUUAUAGAUUUUAUAUCUUCUAAGUA
rnacentral:tRNA from 1 species